CUGAGAAAGCUUUUCCUUCACAAGCCUACGUACAAUAGUCUUGGGAAGAGGGACGGAUUUUGGUGUGUCAAUUUGUAUGUUUUAAUUAGGAUCCUUUUAGAGGAAAUUGGGUGGGUAUUGGGUUAUGGGGUGGAUAGUUGGGUUAUGGGUUAAAAAAAAGGGUCAAACGGGUAGUUCAAUAGGAUUAAGACACGUGUAAGAAAUUAGGGGUCCGUUAAUGAGA
rnacentral:lncRNA from 1 species